rnacentral:rRNA from 1 species
UACAGAGGGUGCGAGCGUUAAUCGGAAUUACUGGGCGUAAAGCGUGCGUAGACGGUUAUUUAAGUCGGAUGUGAAAGCCCCGGGCUCAACCUGGGAAUUGCAUUCGAGACUGAAUAGCUAGGGUACGGUAGAGGGAAGUGGAAUUUCCGGUGUAGCGGUGAAAUGCGUAGAUAUCGGAAGGAACAUCAGUGGCGAAAGCGACCUCCUGGACCAGUACCGACGUUCAGGCACGAAAGCGUGGGGAGCAAACAGG